UACGUAGGGUGCAGGCGUUAAUCGGAAUUACUGGGCGUAAAGCGUGCGCAGGCGGUUUGCUAAGACAGGUGUGAAAUCCCCGGGCUUAACCCUGGGAACUGCGCUUGUAACUGGCAAGCUUGAGUGUGGCAGAGGGGGGUGGAAUUCCGACGUGUAGCGUGAAAUGCGUAGAGAUGUGGAGGAACACCGAUGGCGAAGGCAGCCCCCUGGGCUAACACUGACGCUCAUGCACGAAAGCGUGGGGAGCAAACAGG
rnacentral:rRNA from 1 species